GCCGGGUCUGGGAGUCGAACCCGCGACAGCCGCGUCGAGGACUUGAGGUGUUAAUGCACAGGUUGUCCAGGGUUCCAGUGGUAGAAGAGGGGGGGUGUUACGGCCCAAGGCCUUUCCUCUGGGUCUUAAACAUCCCUAUUAUAAAGCUUCUCAUUGGUGCUGAUUGGAAGUGGAGGCAGCUGGCCAGUGUCUCCAGAAUGACAUCACAUCCAGCUUAAGAUAAACAGUGUUUUCUCACUCACUAGCCCAUUCUUUUCUGUCUCUCUGCUACCCUCUCCCUUUUCUCUCUCUCCAACCAGUUAUGAAUUUUUGUUAAAUAAAUCCCAUUUUAAGGUAUCCCAUGCGUUGCUUCCCUUUGAUUUGUUAUGGUUCCAGAGCCAGACAAUAACAGUUAUGUAAUGACCAUGAGAAUGCAGCUGAUUAUUCCCAAGACGUCUGUUAGGCACAGCUUGAAAAUAAACAGGCCUUUAUUUUCCUGUUUUUCCUUGGGCUGCAGCAAGCAUGGCUGAAUGCUGUUGUGUCUUCAGCAUUUAAUCCUGUGCCAUCCACAAGAAAUUAAGUUGAAGCAAUGCUGUAAGUGACAUUUUCUGAUAACAUGCAUGAUGUUUAAGAUGUAUCUGUCAUUAUUUUGCUGGGAUGCUAAUGUUUGAACAUUGUGGCUGAUAUUUUUAUUUAACUAUUUAUGGUGGGUUUCAUAUAACUGCAGAGUUCAUAAUUAUGUGAAUUGUAUGUACUGUAAGUUUUCCUCAGACACAUAACUAAGUUUUGUAUUGUUUUGUGUUCAUUCUGCCUGCAGUUUUCACCCAGCUUAUGAACGAGGAGGUCAACAGUAAAUGUUCAAUCUUA